GGUGGAUUUGCACGGAGGAAGGUGAAUCAUCCUUUCACGCAGAAGAUGGAGCCCCGAUCCGAUCGUGUAAGGCAUCUUCCCCAGUGUGGUCGACUGGCCCAAGAGAGUCAUGUCUCUUGCUUUAGGCUAAGGCCUAUCGCUUCAAAGUUUUCCCCGACUUAAAGCCAUUUUGCCCUCGCAAAGUCUUUUGUGCAUCAUGGGUGGUG
rnacentral:lncRNA from 1 species